UUUCAUGUAUCCAUACAUAAUGAACAAAGAACCUUUCCCUAGAUUUUUGUUUCCAUUUACAACACUGGAAGACCAAUUUAACUUCGAAGGUGGUAUUUCCGUACAUCAAAUAAUUUUUACCAUAUACUCCUUUGGUUUUUUUUUCAAAACCAUAGAGGUUGCUUGAUAUAAUGAUAGCGCAUUUUUGUCCUUCUAUGAAAUUUUCUUAAUGAAAAAAGUUUCCCAUGCUGUCUACUCGGUCAUUAUUCAUCAUGUCGGCACGCUAAGGGGCGUAUGCCCAAUCUACACGGUUGUUUGCAAAUACCCAUCAAUGGGUAAAAAUACACCCAUUUUCGAAUAAAAACUGUUUCUGUCACAAAAGGGAUAAAUUUAAAAAAAAUCAUGGGUAAAAAAAUACGCAUUUAUAGCUUCUCUAUUCGCUUUAAAAAUGAGUAUAUUUUUACCCAUUAAAGGGUGAAAAAAUGAUUGGAAAUAAGAAAAGUCAAAAAAUCUAACCAGGUCUUCACGGAAAAUAGUAAAGUGGAUACAGCAUUCUUGAGACGGGUGAAUUCAAACAUUUUAAAUUCAUAAUCGACGCAUUUCGCAACAUGAAAAUCAGUGUCGUCAUCCCACACGGAUCGCAACAGCAAGAACGAGGAAAAGGAUCACGGCAUUACGGCAAGUCUUUUUGGAACGCCUCUCGAUAAAUAUUGUAAAUCGUAGGACACACGCAGGACACAAAGAAAGAGGGAGUCACAAUUUGGCCGUUUGGAUGUUACCCGGAACGCACGAAACUCAAGGCAAAAAUAUGAAUGGCUAGAAUAACAUGGACGGAAGCAAUUUGAAUUAUUAUAAUUGUUUUGUUAUUGUAAAUAUUUGUAUAAAAGCGAAUAAAAAAUUGUAGUUUUGAUUAUUUCUAACCAAAACAUUAUUAAUUUGUAAACAAGAUUUUUUUAAUAUUUUUCUCUCCAUUCUCAAAAAUGGGUAAAUUUUUACCCAUUUUGCGAUAAGAAUUGUUUUUAAAUAAGGGGUAAAAUUAUACCCACUUUUGACAGAAACUGUCUUUAUCCGUUAAUGGGUAAAGCGUCUUUACCCAUUAAAUGGGGAGAGGCACUUCUACAGAAAAUGGGUGUUUUUUCACCCAUGAAUGGGUUUUCACAAACGACCGUGUAGCUGGCCAUCACGGUUGUUUGCGAAAACCCAUUCAUGGGUAAAAAAUACCCAUUUUGGAAUAAAACAUGUUUCUGCCACAAAAGGAGUAAAAACGAAAAAGUAAAAUGUGUAAAAAAAACCCCCGCUUUUUGUAUUCCUAUUUGGGAUAAAAAUGGGUGUUUUUUUUUACCCGUUGGUGGGUGAAAAAAAUAGUUGGCAAUUAACUUUUAUCGGAGUAGAACUCGUUAGAAGAGGAAAUCUGCAAUAGUGCUGUUGUGCUGCUUAACUUGAACCAAAAACUUUGUUUAAUCCAUGGCUGUUAACCGAUUCUUUGGUUCCGCAUUUAAGAGGCCAACUGCAACAGAAUGAACUACACAAUCUUCCAAUCGGCAGGGAAACGUUGUGAGACUUUUCAUUGGAAUAAGGGAACCCGAGGGAACCGAUUUUAAUGAAAUUAAUGAAAAAAAAAAACAUCCGGUGCCGAGCCCAGAGAAUAAGGAAGAAGGUUGUCGCCGGAUAAUGCUCGAAAAUCGUACAAGACUUCCGGAAGACAGCAUACUCCGCUGAUGGAACAUAUCCAGACCAACAGAAUUAAGUGUUAAAAUUAUUUGUUAUGUAAUAUAUCAGUGAAAAGUAAAUAAAGAUAUAGUUUUAUCAAUGAUAAUAGGGUCCUAAAAUGAAAAAUAUUUUCCCGGUUUUGUUGCAUAACACGAAGGAGCAUGCUUUUCUGAUCUCAAUGGUAAUUUUUCCAAACUUAAACAAUCACAGAACAGUUAGGGUGUGAACCAUUUCGCUUAUUUGUUUAACUUUUAGUUAAAAUUUGACACUUGGAUAGUUGUUUGCCAUCGAAAAGUUAAAAAAUAACCACGACGGUGGUCCAUUUGAAAUUUGACAGACGAGUAGUUAUUUGGAACAAAAUACAGUACGCAGCCAAAUCAUUGCGAACAAAAAAUAACUAUCGAACUGUCAAGACUAACCCUGCUCGGGAGUAGGGUUAUUUUCAAAAUAACUAUCGAAGUGUCAAAUUUUAACUAAAAGUUAAACGAAUAAGCGAAAUGGUUCACACCCUUAAUAAGCUCGAAAAUAUAAUACAGUCCUGAUUCGUUAGAUGGGCUGCCCGAAUAAAAAAUACAGUAGAAAAACCGAACGUUGUAUUGUAACAGUACUAUUUAAAACCAUAUUUUUACAAUAGAAACCACUGUAAAAAUAAAAACACAAAAACAAUAAAAUGUAAUGUAGAACACCAUGCAGUAAAUUGUAAAUAAGAUUUUUACAAUAUACUAUACGGGUUGUUAAGUAUCGUAACAAUUCAAGUUCGAUUCAAGUAUAAGUUAGGUUAAGAAGCGAACCCACGGACGAACCUAUAUUAGAAUUUCUUUCAGUAUUCAGUCCAGUCCAUAUGUUAAAGACGGCUCUACGUCAAAGAUAAAGUUCGUCAAUCGUAUUCCUCUCAUCGCACUCUACAUACCUAGCCCGCCAUAUCUCUUCGAUCUGCGAUUCUUAAGACAUCUGGUUUACUACUUAUUUAAACAUUUUAUUGACUUUAAAUUGAUGUUUCAACUUAUUCACUUUUUUCUUUCCUUUCCUUUGCAUCAUAAAAGUCACAAAGAUCAACAAAACAAAGCACGCAAAAAAUCUAAAACUGAAUAAAUAAUUAAAAAUGCACGGAAAAAUAAUGUUUCGGAAAAGUGAACGGUUCAAACGUAAGAAAAACAGUAUAAUAUAGCGUUACUUAAAAAUCGAAUGUAAAUGUAUAGUAGCUACAAUGUGCGAAGCUUUUAGUUAACCAUUUCAUUACAAUAUACAUUAUUGUAGCUGAUACACUGUAUGGUGCAGGAAUGGUUUUCACCAAACACCCUAUGAUUAGUUUUUAUCCGGGUGUCUCGAAGGUUGGAUGUUCGCUA